AGUAUAACCAUUUUAGUCAAACCAAAGGCAUUUUUACCCAAAGUUUUCGAUAAUGCAGGCCAAAUUGUAGGUGGUUAAAUGGAUUAACAGGACUGAUCGGUGUACAGCAGUCUAAACCGGACGGAUCAGGGUACAGCAGUCUGUCCUUGGCCUCCAAACACUAUUGUAUUUGCACACAUAUUUUUAUGUCAUUUGGGUGUUAGAUCUGUGCAAAGUAUUAAGCCUAGCUAUUGUCCUGCGGAUAGUCUGCAAAUAGAAAGGAAAACCUGCAAAACCUGUUGCAGGUCUGAUGCUCAUACAAGCAUCAGACACAUUUUUGUUUUUAGGUAAACUUAAUUGUUUGAAAUUGUUGAACUAUUCCUUAAAGCUUAGUUUUGUGAAUAACUCAGUGAUCUAGAAUUCUCUUAGAACUAGCUGGAAGUUUCAACUUAAAAUUUUUUUUAUUGUAGUGUGUCCUGAAAAUGGUGUUUCAGUAGUUACACUGAAGCUUUUGAGUAAAAGAGUAAUAUGCAGGUCAUUCCAGUUCAACUACAACGUCCUAGUUAUUCAAAACAAUCACUCUGUAUUACUUGAUAAGCAAGACGAGUUGGCAGUCAAACAUUGUGUAUACCAAGAAAUAA